GUACUUCCGGUUUACCGCUUUCAGCUCGUAAACAGUAAAAUCUGUGUUUGACUCGACUUUUGACUGUUUUUACCGCAGAGGUUUUUAUUUUUCUUGCAAGUUGCGUAAUUGAAUAGUUACAAAGAGGGACAGUAAGUGGUGAAAUUCCUGAACAUGGAAGCGGGAGGCUCAAAGAGAACCAGAACGAGGGAGCUGCCGCCUCUUCCACAGCGGACGCUUCCCCCCAUGUCCAGGUAGGAAAACCGUUUUGAUCCUAGCAGCUGCUGUGAUUACCAUAAAUGUGAACUAACCAUCUUUUAAACUUUUCUCUUCUUUUUCU